rnacentral:lncRNA from 1 species
UCUGAUUGCUUACGAUUCACCAUGGAAACCUGGUUCCUUGUCCUCAUCGCCCUCUGCGUCUCCUUCCUCCUCAAACCCCUUCUCUCUCUAUUCCUACCCACUUCCAUCUCCAGACCCAAUCUCCCUCUCGGGCCUCGCUUCUUCCCCAUCAUCGAGGGCUUCUUAUUCCUCCUCAAAUCUGCCUCGGAGCUCGAGCCUAUUAUCCGCAAACUCCAGGCCGAAUACGGGCCCAUCAUCUCCCUCCGCAUCGGCUCCCGCUCUACCGUCUUCGUCGCCGACCGCUCCCUCGCCCACCAGGCCUUAAUCCAGAACGGAGCCGUGUUCGCCGACCGCCCCCGGGCCUUGGCCACCAACAAGUGUCUCAACAGCAACCAGCACACCAUCGGCUCCGCCGGCUACGGUCCCUCGUGGCGUCUCCUCCGCCGCAAUAUCACCUCCGAAAUCCUCCACCCUUCCCGCGUUAAAUCCUACGGCAACGCCCGCAAAUGGGUUCUCGACAUCCUUGUCAACCGCCUCAAAACCGAGUCUCAAUCCCACUCAGAAGACGUCGCCAGCGGCGUCAGGGUGGUCGACCAUUUCCGAUACGCCAUGUUCUGCCUCCUGGUUCUGAUGUGCUUCGGCGACAAAAUGAACGAAGAGCAAAUCAAAGAAAUCGAGCGUGUGAACCGCCAACUACUUUUGAGUUUCGGGCGGUUCAAUAUCCUCAAUUUCAAUCCAAAAUUGACGAAGAUUAUCUUCAAAAAUCGGUAGCGGCAAUUCUUCAAAAUCCUCGAGGAACGACGAGAAGUGCUCGUCCGUCUGAUUCGAGCACGACAAACCAGGGCGAAGCAGGGCAGCAAAACCGACGACAAAGACGAUGAAUUUGUGUUGUCGUAUACUGAUACGCUGCUGGACCUCGAACUUCCCGACGGCAACGAAAAGCGGAAGCUUUCGGAGGGAGAAAUGGUCAGCCUCUGCUCAGAGUUUCUGAACGCCGGCACCGACACGACUUCCACCGCGCUGCAGUGGAUCAUGGCCAACGUAGUGAAGUACCCGCAAGUUCAGGAGAAGCUGUUUGCUGAGAUUAAAGGGGUGAUGGGAGAAACGGAGGAGGAGGUGCGGGAGGAGGUCCUACACAAGCUGCCGUAUCUGAAAGCCGUGAUCUUGGAGGGGCUGAGGCGCCACCCGCCGGCGCACUUUGUGCUGCCGCACGCGGUGACGCAAGACGUGGUUUUGGGCGGACACGUGGUGCCCAAGAACGGGAGUGUUAAUUUCAUGGUGGCGGAUAUAGGCUGGGACCCGCAAGUGUGGGAGGAUCCCAUGGCGUUCAAGCCCGAGAGGUUCUUGGGCAGCGGCGGAGAAGAAGGGUUCGAUUUGACGGGGAGCAGGGAGAUUAAGAUGAUGCCGUUUGGGGCAGGGAGGAGGAUCUGUCCUGCGUCGGGAUUGGCGGUGCUUCACCUGGAGUACUUUGUGGCGAAUUUGGUUUGGAAGUUUCAGUGGAGGGCUGUGGAGGGAGAUGACGUUGACCUGUCAGAGAAGCGGGAGUUUACUAUGGUGAUGAAGAAUCCAUUGCAAGCCCACGUAAUCCCUAGAAUUUAAUACGUGUGAGAAUUCUGAGAAUUCUGUACUAAUUUUUAGUACGUGUGAGAAUCCUGUACUAAUUUUUAGGGUAAAUUACAUAGUAGUCACUCAUGUUUGAUGUCUAUUACAACCUCAUACAACGUCUUUAAAACAUUUCACUUUCAUACAUCAUUCAAAAUAAUACAUCCGUUAGAUUUUCCGUCCAUUAAUCUGUUAAAUACUGACGUGGCUGCCACAUCUGUGCUGAUGUGGCUGCCAAAUGUGUGUCACGUGGCAAAAAUAAUAAUUUUUUAAUUUUUUUUAAAAAAACCUAAAUCUUUGAAAUUUAAAAUAAAAUAAAAUAAAAUAAAAAAUAAAAAAAUAAAAACCCAAAAGCUGAACAAAACCCCACCCCCGUGAACCCCUCUCAGCCUUCUUCUUCCCCGCUCCCAUCUUCCCCCACCCCAUACUUGCACCUUUGAAGGAAAAAAAAAACCCAAAGAACAACCCAGAUCCCAUACCCCAUACGACCACCCCCCAACCCAUAUCCCAUUACCACGCCCCCCCUGCGCGCGCGCGCGCGAAACCCAACCCAGAUCCCAUUACCACCCCUCCGGCGCGAAACCCAUAUCCCCCCCCCCCGAACUGCAAGGACGUCAUCCUCACCUGCAUCAUCUUCAUCGUCGAAGACGACAACUGUGGAGCCAAAAAUAUUCACUAGGCGACACGUGGAUUUGUGAACGAAAGAGGACAAAAAUACCCUUGAGGUAUAUCGGGAUUCCUACGCGCAAGUAGUGGGUAAUCAUCCUCAACCAAUUCAAAAAUGCUCCAGAAGAGGUAACUAAUUCCAAAUUAUCUUAUUUUAGGUAAUUAUUUCCAAAACUUAAUUUCCCUAAUAUAUUAUUUAGUUAAUUAAUUAUCUAAAUAAUAUAUUCUUCCCAUAUCUCCUAAAAUCAUCCCUUAAUUACCAAUUUGAAACAUCCACUCAAACCUAAAAAAUGGGAUAGGGCCGGCUACCCCAUUCAAAGUCUAUUCCAUCACCUUUUUUUCUACCUUUUCCACCUUUCCUUCCCUUUUAAAUUAGCCAAUCAAUACCAUAAAUAAUAAAAUAUCUCCUUUCAUAUUUAAUUAGCCAAUUAAUUGGCUAAUUAAACCUAAAAUUAAACCUAAAAAUCCCAUAGUAACCGGCCACAUUCCCUCCCAUCUUUUCCCUACCUUUUUUUUUAUUUUCCUCCACUUUAUUACUCAAAUAAAGCUAAUCAUUUAAGACCCCAUUCAUUUCUAUUUUAUUAGCCAAUAAAGGGGCUAAUAAAAAACCACAAAUUGACUAAGAAAAAGGGAAGGGUGUGGCCGGCCCUUCCUUGGUGAAAAAUGGGGAAGCCUAAUCCUAUAAAUAGGCUCCUAUUCUCACCAAAAAUUCAUUCCAAACCUCUUGCAAAAAUUCCAAAACACUCUAAACACUAUUUCUCUCUAAAUUUCUAACUUUGGCAUCGGAGGUUCUUCGGCCAAAGCCCCCCCCAUUCAUCGUGGGCGCGUGAGGCUUUUGGCCUUAACCUAAGGUGCUAGUUUGUUUUGUAGGUGCAAAAUCGUCCAAGAUCGAAGAGGAGAAAAUUUGCAUCCACAAAUUGGUGCUUUCAUUGAGAGUUGUAAUCCAUACUCGUAGAAGACUCUCGUACAAAAAGGUUUUUUUCUUUAUUUUCUAGUCUAUUUGAAUAUUUUUCAUACGUUCUUAUUAUUAGAAUUUUCUACUUGCAAAGGUUCUUUGAUAAAACGUAUAAGAAAAAUAUAAUGACUAGAAAUUUAGAAAAUUCCGCAAGUAAAAAAUUCUAGUAUUCAAGAAAUGGGACUACGGAGAUCCAUGAGGCAAAAUGCGACAAGAAGGGGAGCGACAUCAUCACCACGAGCUUCCACCAUGGGAACCACCGUGAUGGCUACCUCGGUAGCCACCCGCGGCGAGGUCCAUGGUGCCUUCACCACGGCCGCCAUGGGAACCACCACGGUGGCUACUUCGGUAGCCGCUCGUGGCGAGGUCCAUGGAGCCUUCACCACAGCCGCCAUGGGAACCACCACGGUGGCUACUUCGGUAGCCACUCGUGGCGAGGUCCAUGGAGCCUUCACCACGGCCCGAGUCGUGCCAUCCAAGUUUACGUGGACCAAAGCCCAAGCCUCGCAUUCACAUGCACCGCGCAUUGAGCAGCCUGCUCCCCGUGAUCCAGCCUGCUCUUGUAGCCCAGCCUGCUCCAACGAUCCAGCCUGCCCCAGUGAUCCAGCCUGCCCCCGCAGCCCAGCCUGUUUUCAUGGUUUCCCAAGCUGCCCAAGUCCGCCCGAGACAAUCUCAACCAUCCGGACCAAUCAUCGAGGCUGAGGCGUUUUCACCGCAUUUCUCUGCAGAUUUGACAUUCCCCAACUCAAAUCUCGCACCUGGAGUCAACCACCCUUUCAUUGUUCAAGGAGGUGCAUUCCAUCCAAGUUCUUCCAAUCCGAAUGGCGAACAAAACUUGUCCCGACAAGUCAUAGAAUUGACGAGCGCCCUUGCACAACAAACCACCUUGGUGAAUCAACUUUUACAACGUACUGAGAUGCAUCGCGCUCACGAUGAAGUUUCCCGGAGUAGAACAAGGGUAGACAAUGAGCCUUUUAAACAGCGUCCUGGAAAGCAGCCAUUCAACCCAUCACAAGUGGAGCAUUCAGACAGUGCACACUCUCGAUUGGGCCCCCGAAAUAGCAUAUACUCCCGUCUUAGCGCGCGGAUGAGCGUGCACUCUCGGUUAGGCCCACGAGCAAGUAUACAUUCACGGUUGGGGCCACGCUUUGAUAAUCAACAUGGGCAACCUUCCAGGCAAAGCAUUCAUUCGCGAUUAGGCUCACAAGGAGUAUCCUCCACAUCACAUCGGAGCAGGCAGCCUGACAAACGGAAGGAAACGAUCGUUCAAUCUGGCUCUAGUUCAACCGAUAGCCUGCAAAGAAAUCCCUCGCCUGCUAGGAAUCUAUCUCAUCCAUUGCAGCCACAGCGUAGACGAGCCGAGCGAGAAGAAGAGCAGCCUAGACCGGUAGAAAAAGACCAAGGGCAGCAAAAAGCUCCGCUACCCCCAACAAAAGCAAAUCCAAGAAGAGGUAGAAAGGCUUUUCAAUGAGCGGAUGCGUGAUUUUCGGCGCAACGAAAUGGUUGAUGAGGCACUAAGGCGAGAUAUGACCAACAUGAGCAGGUCACCUUUCGCGGAUGAGAUCGAGCAGGCAGAGCCUCCGCGCAAGUUUAGCAUGCCACACUUCACAUCUUUCAAAGGAGAUGGGGAUCCCGAAAGACACUUGAAGCAUUACCGAAAUGCGAUGGUCCUUUAUCGGAAUAAUGACGCCCUUAUGUGCAAAAUAUUCGCCACUACUUUACAAGGCGAGGCACAAGAUUGGUUUCAUACCUUGCCGGCACGAUCCAUCCUGAAUUUUGAUGAUCUUUCCUUGGUCUUCACCAAAGAAUACUCAUCUUAUCGAUCGAUCAAGAAGAAGUCCGAUCACCUGUUCAACGUAAAGAAAAACCCAAAAGAGUCGCUUCGCGAUUACGUGAAGAGAUUCAAAGCAGAGAAGGCGAAGAUCGUCGGAUGCGACAACUCGAUAGCAAGUGCAGCCUUCCAAAAAGGACUACCAGCAGACCACCUACUGUUUGGAGAAAUGAUCAUGAAAGAAGACCUAACUCUAGCAGAUUCCUUUGCUCUGGCAGAAAAGCAUGCGCUUUGGGACGAGGCUCGACAAGCAGAAAAGGCUCCCGAACAACCUCGAAAAGAGUUGGCAGCUACUCAAAAGAAGGAUGAAAAACAACCCAACAAGGGCAGGCAGGAGUUCAAGCGCAGGGACCGACCCACGACCAAAGAAGGCCCGAUGACCAACAACUAUUCUAAGUUCUCAAUUCCGAUUCAUCAAAUCCUUCGUGACGUCAAGAAUGAACCAUGGUUCAAGUUGCCGAAGCAGUCAAAAGGAGAUACUUCCAAGUUGGACCACACUAAGUAUUGUGCAUUCCACCGAGGUCCCGGUCACACAACCAACGAUUGCUACACUUGGAAGAACUACCUAGAGAAACUCGUGAAAGAAGGCAAAGUCGAUAGAUAUUUGGACAAGCCAGCUGAGCAGCAAAAAAGGAAUGCAGACGGAGAUGAGGAGCCACCAACUAAGACGAUUCGAAUCAACGGCAUUUUUCGCUGAGUCCGAGCACUUAGGGGCUACUAAUAACUCCAAAAAGAGGAAGAUCCAGCAGGCCUUACUAAUCUCACAAGUUCAUGCAGUCGAUACCCAACCUGGACCUAUCAUUGGCUUCACGGAGCAGGAUGCAGAAGGAGUCGACUUCCCACACGACGAUGCAUUAGUAGUAUCUGUCCAACUAGCCCAUGCUAUAGUCGACAGGAUGAUGGUUGACAAUGGAAGUGCGGUCAACCUACUUCAACUUUCAGUCAUUCAGAAGAUGGGCCUGGAAAGUACAAUCAUACGCCGGGCAGAGGUACUUACUGGAUUCAACGGACACACCUCAACUGCCAUCGGUCAUAUCAUACUUGACGUAAAAACACCGCCAGUCGUCUCAAAGCAAACAUUCACGAUUGUAAGCGACCCAUCUCCCUACAAUGGGAUUCUUGGGAGACCUUGGUUGAUCAAGCUGGAUGCUGUCACUUCCGUCAAGUAUCAAAAAAUCUGAUUCCGCAUCCCGGAAGGAGGAGUCGGAGAGAUCAAGUCUGACCAGGCUUCAUCCCGACGAUGCACUGUGCAAAUGUUAAAAGAAACAAAGAAAAAGACCUUUACCCCCGUAGAGGUUACCGAAGUCCAAAAGGGCAAAGAAAUUGCCAAAUAGCAAUUACAGCAGGUGGAUCGAGAAGAUGGCACCCAAGCAGACAGGAUAGGAUGGAAACCCGAAGAGGACGCCGAAGACAUCAUUCUUGAUCCCCAGCAGCCGGAAAAGACGACUAAAAAUUGGCUCACGACUAAGCCCAGACGAGAAGGAAGAACUCACAAUUUUCCUUAGGAAAAACCGAGAUAUCUUCGCAUGGUCACCAUCCGACAUGCCCGGUAUUGAUCCCAAAGUGGCCUGCCACAAGCUGCACGUCGAUCCAACUGCCAAACCGGUAAUUCAAAAAAGAAGACAUUUCGCUCCCGAACGAGUAGCGAUCAUCGAGGCAGAAAUCGACAAACUAUUGGAGGCCGGUUUCAUAGAAGAGGUAGCACACUCGGCAUGGCUUGCUAAUGUCGUACUAGUCAUGAAGAAAGAGAAGGGCAAAUGAGGGGUUUGCGUAGACUACACUGACCUCAACAAAGCAUGCCCAAAAGACCAUUAUCCUGUCCCCCCGGAUUGAUCUAUUAGUAGAUUCAACUUCUGGAAACCAGUUACUUAGUUUCUUAAACGCAUACUCCGGCUACAACCAAAUAGCCAUGCAUGAGCCCGACAAGGAGAAAACUGCGUUCGUGAUAGAGCGAGGCACUUACUGCUACAAGGUCAUGCCUUUUGGCCUCAAGAACGCGGGAGCCACUUACCAAAGGUUAGUAAAUAUGAUGUUCAAAAAGCAAAUUGGGGUAACCAUGGAGGUCUAUGUCGACGAUAUCAUGGUAAAGGGCAAGCAGCGAUCAGAUCACAUUCGCAAUUUAGCAGAAGCUUUCAAUAUCCUUAGAAGGUACAAGAUGAAGCUCAACCCCACCAAGUGCACGUUUGGAGUAUCUUCAGGUCGAUUCCUAGGGUACUUAGUAACCCAACGAGGAAUUGAGGCACAUCCCAAGCAAAUCCAAGCAAUCAUAGAGAUGAAAUCUCCAACUACCUUGAAGGAGAUCCAAAGCUUGACCGGACGAGCAGCCGCCCUCAAUCGCUUCCUCUCACGAUCCACCGAUCGAUGCAAACCCUUUUUCAAAGCUAUCAAGAGGGCACAAAGAAACAAAUGGGAUGAAGAAUGCGAAAAAGCUUUCCAAGACUUGAAGAGUUAUCUCACAUCACCUCCCUUACUAUCCAAGCCGGAAGCAGCGGAGGAUUUAUAUAUUUAUUUGGCAGUUUCCGAGGUAGCAGUGAGCUCUGCUCUCAUACGAGAAGAGCUGGGGGCCCAACUGCCGGUAUUCUACACUUCUAAAGCUCUUCUCGAUGCAGAAACAAGAUAUCCGAAGAUCGAAAAAUUAAUUUUGGCGUUAGUUGUUGCGGCUCGGAAGCUCAGACCCUACUUUCAAACUCAUACAGUCAUUGUUAUGACUCAAUAUCCCUUACGAUCAAUAUUACAUGGUCCGGACGCUUCUCAACGAGUGAUGAAAUGGGCAUUGGAACUUGGCCAAUAUGGUUUAGUUUUCCAACCUCGCACAGCGAUAAAGGCCCAAGCCUUGGCGGAUUUCGUGGCAGAAUUCACACCUAGCCUAGGCAACGCAACAGUGCGGCCCAACGACGCCCCAGAAGCAGCAGAGAGUACCUUAGCCACACUUACUCCAUCCAAUAAAGAUUUCUGGAACUUGCAUGUCGACGGUGCAUCCAACUAUAAAGGCUCGGGAGCAGGUGUAGUUCUUGUUACUCCAGAUGGCUCAAUGCUCGAGCAGGCGAUCACUCUAGGUUUCAAAGCAUCCAAUAACGAAGCAGAGUACGAGGCUCUACUAGCGGGCCUCCGAAUGGCAAAAGACUUGGCGGUGAAGAAACUCGCAAUUCAUUCUGAUUCCCCAACUAAUCACCAGCCAGGCUACUGGGGAAUACACUGCAAAACACCCAAGGAUGGCACAAUACCUAGAGAAAGUACGCCAGCAGCUUGAAGCAUUUCAGACUUACACUCUCACUCAAGUUCCGCGGGCAGACAAUGCACAUGCAGAUGCACUAGCUGGUUUAGGCUCCGCCCUUGACCACCAAUUCAAACGCUCUAUUCCGGUGGAAUAUCUAGACAAGCCAAGCAUAGAGAUGGAGUCGAUAGCCGAAGUGUCACAGGUUAGUGUAACUCCCACUUGGCAAAGUUCAAUUAUAGACUACUUGGUCAACGACACAUUACCCACAGAAAGAUUGGAGUCAAGGAAGCUUCAAAUUAAGUCGGCACGCUACUAUAUGUGGAAUGGCAUUCUCGUCCGAAGAUCCUACACCGGACCACAUCUCCGCUGCCUGGCACCUCCCGAUGACUUGAAGGUUCUAAGCUCAAUCCACGAAGGCGUUUGUGGGAAUCACUCUGGAGGUCGAUCCUUAGCCCAAAAGGCUCUUAACGCAGGCUAUUACUGGCCUACCAUGCACCAAGAUGCUAAGGAGUUAGUACAAAAAAUGCGACCGUUGCCAACGCUACAAACCAGUACCAGCACACUACCCGCCAGUGAGCUACACACCCGCAAACGAGUCCUUGGCCAUUCAUGCAGUGGGCAAUCGACCUGGUAGGGCCUAUGCCGCCUGCUACGGGGGGCAGAUGCAUGAUGAUCGUGGCAACCGACUAUUUCACCAAAUGGGUAGAAGCAGAACCCAUGACAACCACGACUCAGACGGAUAUAGAGAGCGCUUUAUAUGGAGGAACAUCAUUUGCCGAUUUGGCAUCCCUCAGUCCAUCGUCACUGACAACGGUCCUCAAUUUGUGGGAAAAGAUUUGGCAAAGUUCUUCCAAAAAUACGGCAUCAAACAACACAUGUCCACACCAAGAUAUCCUCAAGGCAAUGGGCAGGCUGAAGCAUCCAACAAGACGAUUCUCGACUGCCUCAAGAAAUCCCUCACCGACAAAAAGGGAAAAUGGCCAGAUGAGCUCCCAGGAUGUUUAUGGGCAUAUCGCACCACCAAAAGACGAGCAACCGGUGAAACUCCUUUCUCUUUGGCGUUUGGUUCGGAGGCAAUCAUACCUCCCAACAUCAUCGUGCCAAGCAUCAACACUCUAUUGCUAAACGUUGAGCGGAACAGUAAAGAAAUGGCCACAGAUUUAGAUCUGGCAGAAGAAAGGCGCGAACAAACCAUCACCCGCAUCGCAGCCUACCAGCAGCAGCUCAUUUCCAGCUACAACAAAAGGGCCAAGAUCCGGCAGUUCCAACCUGGAGACCUAGUCCUAAGAAAAGCUUUCAUCACUGCCCGCAGAGAAGGCUCGAAAAAAAUGGACCCCAUCUGGGAAGGUCCUUACAAGAUCAACAGAGUCGGCGGCAAAGGCAGUUAUACUCUUGCUACCAUGAAUGAUAAAGAGAUCGAGAAGCAAUGGAACGCCUACAAUUUGAGGAAAUACCAUGUGUGACUUCACACUAUAUCAAGACCCGAAGACUCGAGCAUCUCAACGGUCACCACCUCGUAAACCGAGGACUAUCCAAUCAUCAUGCAGUUUUUGCAACCAAGUUAUUCGCUCAUUUUAUUUUUCAAUAAAGAAUUCAAAAGUAAUUUGUAAUUUGGCUUUAAUAUAUGUCUACAACAACUUAUUUCUUUCUGCAUUUCAAAAGAAAAUUACACCCCCCAAGGGACCAACUGUGCUCUCCAAGGAGGGAGGAUAAACUCAACACUCCGAAUAUCCAGACGUGGAUGAGCUUGGCUGCCCUAGAAUGACUAGGUGCAUGAUGGCUUGCGCCGGGAUUCCUAGAAGUAGCCACAAUGGUCUGUUUCAAGGCUUAGCUAGUUGAAGGAUUAUGGGUCUAUCGGCUUAAUCCGCAGGGAACCGGGCCCUAGAUACGGAGGGGGCACAUUAUGCAGCACACCCAAUGGGCGGCUGCCCUGGAAACCUAAAGCUGCUACCGAGUGCACUAAGGUAGCCUACGGAUUUCCAGAAGACUGCCUACGGCUUGCCCUUCGAGCAGUAGAACCACGCUAGACUUAUGCAACCGCACAUUAUUGUGAAAGGUUAAACAAGUUAGCGUGCACACACGAAGAUUUUAUCCACUACCGACAUGCUACGUAGUUGAUAAGCUUCACCUCUGUCAAACGCAGAAUAACUUAUACCAAAUCCUAAAGUGUUGUGAUACUUGCUACACGGCCUACGGAAUUGGAAAAAUCCAAGGUUGAAUAACCAAGUGGUUACGCGGAUUCGUCUGCUUCUGUAAGUAAGGCAUCCGGCUGCCAACCCUAUGGUUAAUAACUUUGCAGAAGUUUCUACAUCAACACCUACGGUUGCAUAGGCUAUGUGGGCCUGUCUACUUAUAGAAAAGUAGCACGCCUGCCACUGGCUUAUAUAAGGUCUAAAGGUUAAAAAAAAAAAUGGGAAAAGCAAAAGAAGCGAGUUUAUUAAAUUUUAUAGCAAAAUUGAUAAACAACAAGCAAAUACCAAAAGAGUUCAAGCAAAAGCAACAAAGGAAAGAAAAGGAAACCCUAAAAGCUACCUAGAAGACUACUCUUCGGUAGUUUGGACAUCUCCCAACUGCUCGGUUGUUACACCUUCAGCAGCCUUGGUGUUCUCAGCAGCGGCAUCCUCCGGACCUUUACCCUCGACUGUUCCAGCCUGGGUAUCAACUCCUCCAGCUAUUUCACCGAUAGAAGACUCAAAGGUAAAAUCGAGCAAGUCUUCUGGGGAAAUAGAGAAGGUCUCGAAGUCUUUACCGGAAAACUCAAAGUCAGACGGCCGCCCAUAGAGAUGAUCUACAUAGCCCAGCUUGUAGAAAUCAGAUUGGUUCUGAAUAAGCGAAGCCUCGAAACCAUUUUUCUCACUCUUCAACUGCUCAUUCUCCUCAAACAGGCAAGCACGAACUCGCUGCAACUCCUCAAUUUCUUUCUUAAGAUUGUCGUUGGUCUUCAAAACACCUUGAAGUUCCGACACUUGAGGCUCAAGCCUGUCAGCAACCUCUUUGAAGUGGAUCGCUUGGUUGUAAGUAGCAAUCAAUUCUUCAUCCUUUGCAUAAGCAGCGGAGCGAAGUUCAGAUAUGGAGCGUUCAAGAUCUCGAAUCUGAGGUAUGUAACGCUCGAUUUCCUUCUCUGCACUUUCAUUCUUUGUUUGGACCGCAUCAAACCUAGUCUUCAAAUCCAUGAUCUCCUGGUGAGCGGCCUCAAGCUGCUGAGAAGUGGGGUCAGAAGUAUGAGAUUCCUUCAAAGCAGCAAGCUCAGAUUCCAAUUUUUUGAUUUUUUUCAACCGAGGAAUAAGCUUCGGCAGCCAUAGUUCUUGCCAUCUCUUUAGCAGCCUUGGUGUCCUCUUGGUCAAGGAACAUAGACUCGGCUGCCAGAAUUGUUGUUUUCUGCAUCAUGGCUAGCAGAGCAGUCUUCCUAUACUCGGGUGUAUGCUUUGCAAAAAAGACUCGGACCAACAAUCUCUUUGACGCCAUCAACAAACUGGGCGCAUACAUCCAUGUCUUCAAGAAGAUCUGGUUUCAAAAGAGCACAAAUCUUAGCAGCCUCCUCAGAAACGGCCUUGGCGGAUUCUUCAAGCCUGCCUGAGCGAGCAGCUUCAUUCUUAUCAGCAGACGAGAUGGUUGCAGCAGCGGAAGAAGCAGUAUUCGGCGCCACUUUAGCAGACAGGGGCACCUUAUCACUCUUCAUCAUAGUAGCAAGUCUCUCUUCAAGGGUAAGUCAGGUUUAGUCCCGGACGGACGUUUUGGCACAAACUUCGGUACCAAAGGCACGGAAGAACUUUUACGCUGAGCAAUUUUUUUCAGCAAUCGAGCUAGCAGCCUUCGAAGCAAUAGGCGUUACUGGCACAAAUGUAGCAGUUCGUUCUUUCUCGCCCUUAGAGGAAGUCAGGUCAAUCACAAUCUUGGGAGCAGCCGGAGAAUCCCCACGAGCAGUCUUCAUUUUCUUCUCAGCAGGUAUCUCUUGAGCAGGCGGGGAAUGUUUCUUUUUCCCACCUUCAUUGGUAGUAGGCUCCACCACAGUGAUAGGACGAGCCAUCGCGUCUGCCUUGAUCCGUUUUAUUUCUUCUUCUGGGGGUAGUCCACCUUUUUCCCUACGAAGAGGACUAAGCAGCCAACGCCACUCACGAUACUCGGAAGGAAUACCCAGAGCGACAUGCACUUUUUUCAUAUCUGGAGAAACCCUAGGAGUUGAGCCAAAUUCCGAAUCUACAAAAAAAAAAGAAAAAAAAAACAGAAGACAAUCAGAAAAUUGAAGAAUGAUUUGGCACUAAAGCAAAGCAGCCGAAAAAGACUAAGCAGUCUGCUUACCAGAUAUGAAGACCGUUGAUACACGCAGCUCGGGAGAAGAAUCAGAUUCCCAUUCUCCACUUAUCUCCAAAGUCUCUUUGGCCCAAUCAUGAUCUCCUUUACUCGAAUUAUCAAAAAGCUUAUGACGGAUUCGCAGUUGUCCAACUCCAUCAAUACGACCUAUGUCAAAGAAAUACCAAAAUUCGUUGGUGGUUAGUCCCAAGUCAAAGAAUUGGUUCAAAUUGUGGAACCCCACCAUCACUCGGACCGCAUUCGGGGAACAUUGGGCAGGCGCACAUUUCAUAGAGCAAAGCACUUCUUGGAAGAAAACGCGGUAUAGGGAAAGUAAACCCUAACACAAAAUAGUAAGGAUGGAACUUGAUAGUUCUCCGAGUUCCACUGCAUGGUUCUCGGCUGCUACCAUCUUUAACUCGUCUCACACGCACUCCCGACGGAAUGGCAUGCCAAUACGUUUCAAGAAAAUCUCUAAACAAAUUGUCGGAGCUAAUCUUGAUGUGAGCAGCUUUGAAGUAGCCAAUCUUGCUCAAAGACCCGCCUUGACGGUACAGCGGGGGCACACCAUCAUCAUUCUUACGGCUCGAGGAAGACAUGCUUGAAAAUUCUACAAAAGUACAAGGAAGAUUUGUUAGAGAGUUGUUAAAAAAAAAAAAAAAAAAGAAAAGAAACAGCUCUCGGCAGCAAAAAAAAAAAAAAAAAAAAAAAAAAAAAAGAAACAGCUCUCGGCAGCAAAAAAAAAAAAAAAAAAAAAAAAAAAAAAAAAAAAAAACAAGAAUUAGGCUUAAAGCCGCAGGACCAGCAAACCUGCCAGGCCCCACGGCCUGGCUUGCUUCAACGCCCAGCAAGAAAAAAAUAUAUAUAUUUUCAUGGCAUUACCAUGCCAUGGUUCACCAGAUCAACCUAUAACAAGUCUCUGAUUCCCAUCAGGCCAAGAAUCAAGAUCCAAAGAUUCCAGAAAAUCAAGAAGACAAGAAAAAUAAUUUUUUCUUACUUGGAAGCAACGAAGAGCGAUCCUUUACACGGGCAAGACGUAGAAGAUUGCUAGAGGAGGGGGAACAAAUAUCCUCUAAGCUCUCUUUUUCUCUUGUAAGGAUGAAUAAGUUUCACUCUAAAAGUUGAUUUAACAAUCCACUUAAGGUGGACUUAAAUAAGCUUUGGGGAAAUUUAUUUCCUUUUCCUAGAAGGAUUUAAUUUCCUAUUGAAAGAAAGAAUCAACAACAAAAUAGGAAACAGUUCAGAAUUUCCUAAAGCAAGAAAAUCUCUACACCUAUUGCCCUUUUCUGCAAACAGCUCAACAGGUGUGGGGGCAUUUGUGGAGCCAAAAAUAUUCACUAGGCGACACGUGGAUUUGUGAACGAAAGAGGACAAAAAUACCCUUGAGGUAUAUCGGGAUUCCUACGCGCAAGUAGUGGGUAAUCAUCCUCAACCAAUUCAAAAAUGCUCCAGAAGAGGUAACUAAUUCCAAAUUAUCUUAUUUUAGGUAAUUAUUUCCAAAACUUAAUUUCCCUAAUAUAUUAUUUAGUUAAUUAAUUAUCUAAAUAAUAUAUUCUUCCCAUAUCUCCUAAAAUCAUCCCUUAAUUACCAAUUUGAAACAUCCACUCAAACCUAAAAAAAUGGGAUAGGGCCGGCUACCCCAUUCAAAGUCUAUUCCAUCACCUUUUUUUCUACCUUUUCCACCUUUCCUUCCCUUUUAAAUUAGCCAAUCAAUACCAUAAAUAAUAAAAUAUCUCCUUUCAUAUUUAAUUAGCCAAUUAAUUGGCUAAUUAAACCUAAAAUUAAACCUAAAAAUCCCAUAGUAACCGGCCACAUUCCCUCCCAUCUUUUCCCUACCUUUUUUUUUUAUUUUCCUCCACUUUAUUACUCAAAUAAAGCUAAUCAUUUAAGACCCCAUUCAUUUCUAUUUUAUUAGCCAAUAAAGGGGCUAAUAAAAAACCACAAAUUGACUAAGAAAAGGGAAGGGUGUGGCCGGCCCUUCCUUGGUGAAAAAUGGGGAAGCCUAAUCCUAUAAAUAGGCUCCUAUUCUCACCAAAAAUUCAUUCCAAACCUCUUGCAAAAAUUCCAAAACACUCUAAACACUAUUUCUCUCUAAAUUUCUAACUUUGGCAUCGGAGGUUCUUCGGCCAAAGCCCCCCCCCAUUCAUCGUGGGCGCGUGAGGCUUUUGGCCUUAACCUAAGGUGCUAGUUGUUUUGUAGGUGCAAAAUCGUCCAAGAUCGAAGAGGAGAAAAUUUGCAUCCACAACAACGAGCAGGAGCAGCAGGGCGACGAUGAGAUAUCCCGGUCGACGGCGAGAUCGGGUGGUGACGAAAGACCUCCAUGAGGAGCAGAGGGAUUAGAGAGAGAGAUAUGCAGUGGUGAUGGGGAAAGGGCGGCGUUGAUCUGGGAAAAGAGAAGGAAGGGGAGGUGAAGAGAGUGAAGAAGAGGGAGAAAUGGGUCGGGGAUUUAUGGGUUUCUGUUUUUCUGUUUUUUGUUUUUCAAAUAGAAUUGGGGGUUUCAGGAAGGUGAGGGGUGGGGUGGGGGAUUGUAGUGGAGGUGGAGGUGGAGGUGGGCGUGGGUAGGUUAGGGGGCUGCAGGGAUGGAUGGGUUUCAAGGUUUUUUUUUAUUUUUUUUAUAAUAAUUUAGAAGAUUCAGAUUUUUUUUAAAUUAAAAAAAAAAAUUUACCACGUGGCACACAUUUGGCAGCCACGUGGCACAAAUGUGGCAGCUACGUCAGCACUUAACGGAUCAAUGGACGGAAAAUCUAACGGAUGUAUUAUUUUGAAAUAAAAUGGUACAUGAUGUAUGAAAAUGAAAUGUUUUAAAGACGUUGUAUGGGAUUGUAAUAGAUCUCAAACCUGAGAGGCUACUAUGUAAUUUACCCUAAUUUUUAUUACGUGUGAAAAAUUUAUACUAAUUUUUCGGCGCAUGCUGAACCGUUAAAUCUAUUAGCGUAUGAUUAUGUAAUUUGGAAAAUUUGGAUUUUUAGUUUACUAGUGUGAUUCAAGACAGAUUUUAUAACUUCAAUAUUUAGUAAGUGAUUUGAGUGAGCUGUAUUUGCUAGUUUUUAGCUUAUAACUAAUACAACUUUCAAAUCUUGGAAGACAUCUUCUUUAUUUAGAGAUUGCCCAAGAGCAAGGAGCAUUUGAGAAUCGAUGGGAAUGACUACACUACACAGGUACAACUCUCCUUUAAUCUUGGCGUCACAGCUUUACUGAUGGCUAUUUCGAAAUCCAAGUUACUGUAUUUUGAACAAAUUCGGUGGAGUAGUGUUUUUGUUUUUACCUUCGAAUGUAUGGAAAUAGAAGAAUAAACAACUCUUUGAAGACAACUUCUUUUCGACAAAGGUGUUCAGUUACCAUUUUCGUUCACUGCUUAAUUUGUUAUACUAUGCUUCGUCCCCAAAAUUCGUCAUCUGAAGUAAUCUCAAGUUUUCAACUUCAUGAUUGGAUUUGAUGGUGGGGCGUUGAGAUGCAGUGAAUAUGUGACAUUAAAGUUGGGGAUGCAAGCCAUACGGUUGGUCAGAUACAGAUAUGCUAAUAGUAUUAGCAACCAAAUUUUUGCUGCAACAGUUCCAUUUUUUCAGAUGGAAAGUCUGACUAGCGUAUUUAUAAUUUGAUCUUUUGUAGGGUGGUGGUUCCGGCACCCAACAAAUUGUGAUCGAAGGCUCCUUAUGUGAUGAUUAUUACAAGAUUCGGGAAUAUCUCUACUCACUAUUUUAUUUGCUUUAAGUAGAGAUACAUAAUAUCUAACGCCUUUGGGUGAACCAUCAUUUGAUGCGGUGUUAAUUUCCAGUGAUUUUAGGGUACACAGUAAAGUUUAAUUUAAAUAUAAGACUUAUUUUCCGUUGAAGUUGUCAUUUUGUUCAUGCAAGAUGGAAAUCUUUUUCAGGAAUCAGGAAACAAAGCAUGUUUGAAGGGUUAGACACCCAAUUGUCAUGUUGUCCUCUUAUACCAAGUCCCACACGGGUUAAAUUCAAAUAGCACCAAGACAUUAAUGCGGAUGAAGCUUUUAACGGAAAAGAUUUUUUUUUUUUUUAAAUGAGGAUUAGUUGUGGGGCCCAUAUCAUAUCAAAGUUUAACGAUCCGAAUAGUUUAUUUUUCAAGUUACACCUCUUAGAUCAUCUUUGCAAAAUAUUAGUUAAAUCGAAAAUAUUUUGAUAUCUAAUUGAGUUCAAAUAAAUUGACGAACCCUUUUGUCUAUAAGAAACAAUGAAAUUUCAAUGAGAUAAUUAAAUAGGCAAGUGGUUUCGGAUUGAAUUGAAUUUUGCAAGGAUGAUGUAUGAAUCGAGACUUACAAAAUAGACGGCACGAAUCGUUAAAUUUCAAUGUAGAGUGGAUCCCACAACUAAUCCUUAUUUCUUAAAAAAAAAAACGAUGAUACAUCCCUUAAAUGGCAUGUACCUACGAAAACAAAACAUAACAAACAAAUUACAGUUAGACAUUUCAACUUUUUCACAUGACAAUAUGCAGUUGAGUUUGGAUAAUGCCGCAAAACUGGCAAGUAAAUUACACAAUGCCAUGCAUUUUAGCUUCUUAACGAAGGGUAAUGUUAGAGAGACUAAAUUGGAAAACAAAAUUUGCAAACUAAGGGGGGUGUAGUCAUAAUAGGAUUUGAUAGGAUUUUAAUAGACUUUAAAAUCAAGGUGUAGUCAAUUACAAUUUUAAAAGAUUUAGAAAUCAUGGUGUAGUCAAAGUAAGAUUUAAGAGGAUUUUAAAGAAUACAUCCAUAUCCAAUGGUAGUCAAUUAAGAUUUUAAAGAAUACAUAUAAAUCCAGAGUUAGUGAGAAUGCAAAAAAUUUGAUAGGAUUUGAAUGGGAGGGGAUUUUGAUGGAUUUAAAGGUGGAUCGUAUAUAUACCAAAUGCUAUCAAGAAUCCUACCAUCCCCCAUCUGAUUUCUUUUCACGUCGGCAAACAGAAAAGAACCUCCCAACCCCUUCAUCUUCAUCUAUACCUUCCUCUUCGGAACACAUCUCAUCGUCCUCUUCGACUUCGAAUUCAUCGUCUUCAUUCUCAUCUAUCAUGGAUUUUUUUUUUUCUUUCAAAUUCUACUUGUAAACAACUAUUGGGUUCUGGCAAGUUCUCUAUUUUCUCAGAAAAGGAAUAGUAUUCCUCCAUUUUUUGCCCUACCUGAGAUCCGAUGGUUCAAUAUUUUUUUAACAUAUCGCUGGAAUCAGUUUUUUUCUCCCAUGUUCUCCUCGCACGAAACCGAUUUUCAAUGGAAAAUUGCCUCAAAUCGCCAAAAUUAUCUCCAUUACCCCAAACCCACAUAACUUGCAGAAGCUCAAUGAGUUCGGCGCUGGGGAAGUGGAGCUUGCCGAAAAUUAAUGAAAUGUGGUUUCUAAUGUUAUGCUUGGUAGGUACUUGAAGGGCAGGAAGCUAGAGUGUGCAUUGAAGUUUUGGAAAAUGAUGAGCAUGGGAUUGAAAAUGAAUGGAACUACCAUGGUGAAUAUUUUUGCUACUUGCAGCUUGUGGUCAGUCUGGUAGACUGAGAAGGAAGGUUAGACACACUACUACAAAAGAGGCUAUCACUGGCGAAGCAAAAACCGACAAGAACUUCAAUUUCUGUUAGAAAUUUGGUAAAAAUCCGACAUAAAACCAUGCAAUGUUGGAUUGGAAUAGCGACAUCAUUGCUAGCAUCACGAAAGGGCUUCAAUGUCAGCUUGUCAGCUUAAUCCGCCAUGAAGCAGCGUCGGUUAAAAGUGAUAUCGAACUUUACGUCGGUUAAAAACGACGUGCUAUUCUAACAUGAUGGCGGUCAUAGUCAACAUCAAGUAGCAAUUAAACUAUAAAAUAUCCAACCCACUGUCAGUUUUAACCAACAUCAGCUAACAAUUAAAUAAAUAAAAUAUGCAAACUUAUUUGCUUUCGUUUUCAAUUAAUAAAUAUAUAAAAAGAUCUGACUUUGCUUUCGUUUUCAAUUAAUAGUAAUUAAAAAAAUUAUAUAAAAAUAAUAAUAAAUUUCAUUUAUGGGCCAAAACAAAUUCUUGCCUCUUCCGUUUUCAAUGAACCAUACUAAUGGUCUUAACAUGCUUCUUCCGCCUUAUUUAUAUGUCAAUGAAAACAAUUUUAAGCAAACUUCAUAUUAAAAAUAAAAUUUCUAAGAACUAUAUAUUAAAUUGAAAAUUAAUAACAUUUCUUAAAAAUGUACAACACAUACAAAUUCUUGCCGCACUUUAUUCCAGUAUGCCACCAACUCAACCCAUUGUGCAGCAUUCACAUCAGGAGGAGGGUGGCUGCACACCACGGCUGCUCUCUUAGUAUAAUACGGUUUUUAAAACUUAUUUCUAUACUCUUUGUGCGUAUGCUCUGCAACCUAAAGAUCAUGUAGCGGAUCAUAGGCAUUUUUGCUAUAUCUUCAUCUUCAAAAAAAAUAUUCCCUACAUCCAUAAAAAAAUCAAGCUAAUUAAUAAUUAUUAUAAUCAUUGACUUAUUCUUCUAUUUUCAAAUUUAAAAAAAAAAUAUAUAUAUAUAUAUAUAUGCCUUUAUCCUAUUCCAGAAAACUUCCUUAUCUUGUUCCUUAAUCUUACGUCAAUCACUCAUCAACGGGAGAUUUUUGUAAUCUCUAACCUCCCACUACAUAUUUUGAAAAGGCACUAGAAAUAUCACUAAUGCAUUUUCUAGACGAAUCAAACGAACAAAGUUGUUUUGUCCAUUUGGGAAUUGAGGGUCCGCGCCUCUGUUGAGAUGUUCCUUAUUCAUACAAAAAAAAAACAAUUAAAAGCCAAUAAACAAAAGUAAAUUUUCAAUUUAAGCAUAAUACUAGUUUAAACACAAAACAAAAACUGAAAUUAAUAAUAAUUCAAAAAUGAACUAGCUUCGAACUCUUCCUCUUCGAAAUGGAGUUCCUCAUAAUGUUGAUCUUCACUUUGUUGAUCUAUAGCAAAAGUUAGUGGAAGGAGAAUGAGUAAGGCUGAAAUGGAGGAAAGAGAGGGAGUAAGGACGCACGAGCGCAAAACUAAAGAAGUAAACGAGAUAAAGCGAAAUGAAAGCACGGAAGUAAUAGGGAAGAAAUGGGUUUAAAUAUGGAUAAUAAGUUGGCGUCGGUUAAGACCGAUAGUGGUUGUAAAUGACGUCGAAAUAUGUACACUUUGCGUCGGUAAAAACCAACAUCUACUCUGACACACUAACUAAAAUGCACGUGGCGUCGAAAUAUUUGGACUUCACGUCGAUUAAAACCAACACUAAGUCUAACACGACUUAAAUGCACGUAGUCUGACACACUUGACUGAAAGGCAACUGGCGUCGAAAUAGGAAAAAAUUGUGUCGGUUAAAACCGACGUGAGCCUGACAGACUUGACAAUGAUUGCAAGUGGCGUUGAAAUAAGAAAAUUUUACGUCGGUUCAAACCGACGUGAGCCUGACAGACAUGACAGUGAUUGCAAGUUGCAUGGAAAUAAAAAAAGUUGCAUCGGUCAAAACCGACGUGAGCCUGACAAACUUGAUUGUGAUUGCAAGUGGCGUCGAAACAAACGUGAAAAUUCCCGCCCAAAAUAUUUCAAUUUAACACGGGGGAGAGUAUAUAAAGGUCAUCAAUCUAUCACUUAUAACUGACACUGGAUUUCAAAAUAUUUAAAAAACUUAAAAUAUAUGUUGGUCAGAACCGACGCAGGCUUUAAAAUAUUUAAAAACAAUCACUAGUGUCGGCUAGAAGCGACACCUACUCCAACACCAACUUUAUGUCGCUUAAAAUUGACACAGUUUUUUUUAAUGCAACACCAGUAUUUAAAAAUUAUUAAAAUCUAUGUCAGUUAUAAGCGACAUUAACGAGCUAGGGUGUGAGCCAUAUCUUAGCUAUAGAAAUAAAUUCUACAACCAAGAUAUGGUGAAAAAUUAAAUUAAAUUAUAAAGACUACACAUACAUUAGAUAACAAAAUCUUACAAAAAAAUUAUCAAAUAUGCAGAGGAAUAACUAUAGUGCACAAAUUAAUUCACAACAAAAUAAUAAUUAAAUUGUAACAAUUCUUUCAAAUGCAUGAAAUAUAUGCAAAUGGAAUGGAUGAAUGUACUUACUCCCUUCUAAUCCCGUCAACACAUACCUAAAGCACCCAAGCAUGCACGUCUCAUACCAUGCUUAUACCAUUUGGCUCCGAAUACCUUAUAAUAUGAGUUAACUCCCGUUCAUCCCUUAACCCAAUUUUUGUAAUUAAACUCUCAGUUUCCACUUUAUUAAACAUGCAUUCCCCCUGACGCCUGACAUAUACAAGAUUUCAUUAUUUUAUAAUAAAUCAAUUUGUAUACUCAAGCCCUGCACCCUACGCCUGACAUAUACAAGGUUCAUUAUUUUAUAUUCAAGGCAAACUUCAGCCCUUGAAUAGCCUCACAACGCAAACACUUUACAAACUCAACACAACUCUUUUUCUUGUUUUGCAAUGCAUAUGUAUAUGCCAUGUUCACAGAGAUAUCAAUACUCACAUUUUCUUUAACAAGCCUGUAAGUUUCAACAUAAAUCAAAUUGAUUAGUAACAAGAGUAAUAUAAUCAUAAUAUUAACAAAAUAAUAAUCUUUGAUGUAAAUGAUAAGCAAUAUAUUACCAUUUCUUCAUUUUGUCGAUCCUCCUUUUCCAUUAUGUUUCUAUUUAAUAACUCAGUGUUUAAAUGGUUUGCUCAACUCAAAUUUAUUGCAAUUAGACAAAGGAACACGGAGAUUUAAGUGGCUCACCAAUUUGGCUACGUCCACUAGGGUUGCAUAUGCAUUUAUGUUUUCACUAUGUAAGAGAGAUUUACAAAAAAAAAAAAACAAUGAAGAUGGCCUAGAGCCUUUACAUAAGGUAAAAGAAAAGGAUGGUGGGAAGAGUGGUAUAUGAAGAAGAUGAGGUUUUGUUUCUUUUUCCCCGUGUGUUGUUGAUGAUGUUGUGUGUUGUUCUUCUCCCCGUUUCUCUCCUCCCUUUGCUUUUAUGGAUGAAGAAAUGGAAUCCUCCAUUAAGCCUUAAUGACAUGUUUCACUUUGUUUUGCAAUACUUGGACAUCUUGUAAUUGGAAGCAAUCAUUCCCAUGCAUGUGGACAAAUACUCAAAAACCACGUUCAAAGUCUAAGGAUUAUGAAUCCCACAUCUCCAAUUUUGGAGGGGAUGAAUCAUCACCAAAGAUUUAACUCUUACAUUCCUAAUUAUUACAAACUUGCCAACUCACUCUCAUGUAAACUUCCACCUCUUCACCCUAAUCAUUAACUUCUAUUAAUUAUCACCUCCACCUCAUCCUUGGGAGAAAAAUGAAUCAAGCAAAAACUACUCAAAUAAUCCCACCUUAAGCUCGGCUAUAGCAAUGAUAAUUGCCAUUAGCAAGUAAAAACAACUUUUAAGGCCUACCAAAAACAAUCUAAUACAUGUAUAAGUUACCUACAAAAUUACAAAACUACAAUGAGGAUGGCAAACACUAGAAACCUCUCUAGUUAGAGAAAUUUGAGUUUAAAAGUACAAGCUAGGCUUAGAUAUAUUCUUGUAGUGAAGGAAUCCCUACUAACUUACAUGUCGAAAAUACAAGUUCUUGUACCUAUAAUAUAUAAAAUGAAAUUAAAAAAAAUCAUUACAUUUGAAAUAGAUAUAAGUACUUGCACACACAUUUAUAUAACCAUUUAUUUAUUUUUAAAUACGGGGUAUUACAAGACCCAUAAGUGAACACACAUUGGAACAUUGGAGUUGUUUGAGUCACAACAACUGCAUGAUUUCAUUAAAAAUGAUCUGACAGCUCUGCGUGUGAUUUUCAAUUUUUUCAAAAUCCUAAUAUGUCACAGCCCGUUCCGAGAUUAUAUAAAUAUUGGGGACUUGAAAUGACAGAAUUACCCUUAGAGGGUAUUAAGGUAUGUAUGUGUGUAUGUUGGACAUAUUUCCUUCAUUCCUAAACUUUUGGAAACAAAUUAUUAAGUGGGAUUUAAAAUGUUGGAUUGUUUGUGUGGUUAGGGAACUAGGAAGAGAAAUGAAUGGUCAUGAUUUGUGAGGGAACACGCACACAUUUCCUUCUCUCUCACUCACCCUGUGUCUCUCUCUCUCUCUCUCUCUCCUCCUUUACGGAUCUCUCUCACUCUCUUUCUCUCGAAUUGUACGGCCACACCCAAGGACUCUCUAAACAUCACGGAUUGAAGCUAACAAGGUAUGGUUCUUCAUCAUUUUGACGUUCUGAGUUGAAUGGUACUAGUUUUAGGAAGUGAAACCCUCAAAAUCAUCGUGAAACCCUAACCCCAAAAUUGUGCACUGUUCAUGCACACGUAAAAUCUUGCAUUUCAGGAAAUUCUAAUCUUAUAGUAAGCUUAGUGAGGUCCCAAGGAAUUUCGGAGUGCUUCGUUUGAAGGUUUUGGACGUCAGGAUCGUCGGGUUCGAAGUUGGCCGAAUUGGAGGAUUUUCCCGACGAAAUUUCAGAGGUUUUUAAAGGUAUAGAUCCCUUCCCCUCUUAAUUUAGAGCUCGUAGGUGAAAAUUUCAUGAAAAAUGGUGAAGAAACGAGUGAGAAAGGUCGAGUUGCAGGUUUCCGGCGCCGGCGACACUGUGCUGGCGACGCGAGGAAGAAGAAGCGCGCGUGGGGGCGCGUAGGUCCGUGCCACCCACGGCGCGUGGGGCUGCGUGGAAAACCCAAAAAUUUUUCUAAAAAUUUGUCGACGUCUAUGACGUCGAGUAGGUCGAUGUGGUAUAUUCACAUACCCAAAUUGAGCACCGUAUGAGAAGUUAUUUCGAAUUGUUGAUUAUGUGUUUUAAUUAACGUUUCUAUAGUUGUUUUGCAUAUAGGUGACACCUAUCCCGAGGACGAGCGCAUCCAAGGACGUCACGGGGGUUACGACCAAUCGACUUACCAGUGAGUGGGCAGUUUUUGUUUUCGUAUUACCUAUAUACUAUUGAUUUUUUUCCCAUAAAAUGAAUUUAUAUGAAAAUACGUUUUAAAAUGCCAUGCAUGCAUAUUAUGAGAUAUUUGAAUUGAUAAUUGAUGCAUAUAUAUAUAUAUAUAUGAAUUGAUGUUGUGGACGCACAGGUGAGUGUUACAUUAUUCAUACGAUUUAUUUUAUGUGAAUUGCAUUGAAAGCUCAUAACUUGCACCCUUGGUGUUAGUGCUUAUAUUAUUCACUGCACCGCACGCUCGCCUUGGAUCCAAGUAGGUGAAUGUCAUACAUACCAUGUGAGGGUUCCGACAUGCUAGUCGUAUAGAUCGCUAGAGGUGAUUCCGACUAGUGGGUAACCUUAGUUUAUGCGUGCCGAUGAUUGAUGAGAGAAGCACUAGAGCAUAUUCUUACACCUUUCCAUCGUACAGACUACCUUACGUAGUUCCGAGUGACGUGCAGAGUAGGGCCGUAUAGGUCACUGUGGUGACUCCGGCUAGGGGGAAUACUGAGCUAUAGAAUUAGCCGUACAAGACCAUUGUAGGGUCUCCGGUUAUUUCAUUAUAUCACCUGUCAUAUUGAUGCAUCCAUAUUUUUAAUCAUUGACAUUAUUGCUUGGCAUAAUUACUGGAUUUUGAUAAACUUGAUGCUUUGAGCAAUUUGAGUAAAUAUUAUGCUACUAUGUUAUUUUUUGGGAAAGUAUACAGGUUUUACAGAGAGGGGUUAGAAAUGUUUUAAAUGAAAUGUUUUGGAAAAUCUUUGGUUUUACUGACCCACUCAACUUUGUUUUGCGCCCCUCCAGGUUCUAGUUAGCAGUUGGUGGCUCACGAGGUCCUUUUCGGCGUUCUGAUAGACGUCCUGCAUGUAGGACUCACCUGCGGGUGUUGUACUUUUAAUUAUAGUCCUACUUGACUGCACCUAGUAUCUACGCUCUGAAAUUGUGUGUUUUACUUUGUAACCUCACUCUAGUAUGCUAGUUGGUUAUUACUGCUAGUGGUUGGUUUAAAUUCCUUCAUAUUUCUCAUAUCUUUUGUUUCCGUGUCGCACUUUUGGCUACGUCACGCUCACGUGACGGCCAGCACGUCUUGAUUCUAGGAUUGGGGUGUGUCAUAAUAAAUCUAUGGAAGAAAUCUAUACAAAUCCACAAAAAUCAUAAUGAAAAUCCAUAUAAAUCUUCUAAAAUCCAUAGAGAAUUAUAAAGUCUAUUAAAAUCCUUUGAAAUCUAUCACUAAAAAAAAUUCAUUAAAAUUCUCUGAAAUCCAAAUUGACUACACCCCUAAAUGAUGUGUCACAAAUAUAAAUGAGUACGUUUAUCAACGCUUAAAUAAUAAACUAAUUAACAACUUCUAUGUUUUUGUUUUCAAAAUUUUAUUUGAUAAAUUUAAUUUCUAUAGCGUUACUCUUUAACAAAACAAUAUGUGAUUGCCCGGCCCAUGACUAGAUUUCGAAGUCAAUGUCAACGUUCGUCAGCAAUUACAUCACUCCAAAAUUUCUGAAAAAUCGAAGUAUGAGUUUUCUUGCUCCACGAGGACAGAAAGGGAUCCUUCCAUCUGAGCCAACCAGGCAUAAAAUCUAAAUCUUUAAAAUUUAAUCUUACGAUUAAAAUUAUUAUAAUUUUUAAUAUUUUUUUUUAUUUUUAAUCGUUAUAUCAAAUUUUAAGUGUUUAUAUUUUUUGCUUAGUUAGAAGGAAUCUGAAGAUUAUCCUUUCCCACCCUACAUUAUCCAACUCUCUAUAAAAUAUAGAAAAUAAUAAUUUAUUAAGCAAAGGCAUUUGCCCAUCGUCUGAUUGCUGACGAUUCACUAUGGAAACCUGGUUCCUUAUCCUCACCGCCCUCUGCGUCUCCUUCCUCCUCAAAGCCCUUCUUUCUCUAUUCCUACCCACUUCCAUCUCCAAACCCAAGCCCCCUCCUGGGCCCCGCUACAUCCCCAUCAUCAGCACCUUGUUAUUCCUCCUCAAAUCCUUCUCGGAGCUCGAGCCUAUCAUCCGCAAACUACAGGCCAAACACGGGCCCAUCAUCUCCCUCCGCUUCGGCUCCCGCUCCGCCGUCUUCAUCGGCGAC